AAUAAAUAUAGCCAUGGGUUUUCGCGCUUAACUUUGAUCGUCCGUCUUAUUUAAUUUUUUUAUAUAUAAUUAGCAUUUUUGUUGCUAUGAGAUGAUAAAGCAUGAAUAGUACUUUACUCGUGACUUAUGUUUUUAAUUUUUUUCAAAAAAUUUUCAAAUAAGAUGAACGGUCAAAGUUGGGCGCGGAAAACCAUGGUUGCACUUACU
rfam:Oryza sativa Japonica Group DNA, chromosome 6, cultivar: Nipponbare, complete sequence.